CUACGGGCUGCACCAGUGGGGAAUCUUAGACAAUGGGCGCAAGCCUGAUCUAGCCAUGCCGCGUGAGUGACGAAGGCCUUAGGGUCGUAAAGCUCUUUCGCUGGGGAAGAUAAUGACGGUACCCAGUAAAGAAACCCCGGCUAACUCCGUGCCAGCAGCCGCGGUAAUACGGAGGGGGUUGGCGUUGUUCGGAAUUACUGGGCGUAAAGCGCGCGUAGGCGGAUCAGAAAGUUGGGGGUGAAAUCCCGGGGCUCAACCCCGGAACUGCCUUCAAAACUCCUGGUCUUGAGUUCGAGAGAGGUGAGUGGAAUUCCGAGUGUAGAGGUGAAAUUCGUAGAUAUUCGGAGGAACACCAGUGGCGAAGGCGGCUCACUGGCUCGAUACUGACGCUGAGGUGCGAAAGCGUGGGGAGCAAACAGGAUUAGAUACCCGGGUAGUC
rnacentral:rRNA from 1 species